CCGUCAUACUCCAUGCUGUUUAUCGGAUUUGAGCCCAGAGCCAGCCAUCAUAACCACAAACAAUGUGCAAUUUUUCUUGUGCAGGUGUUGGUAACCUGUCACCAGCAACAAUCUCAGGAUCAUCGUUUGUGGGAUAAAAGGCAUCCCAUUGCAUUGGAAUGCAAUCACAUGCAUUGUCCAUUGAGUUAUGGAUCUCUCUGUUUCCCCUUUCUUUAAAUGUCCUUGUGUAUGCCCAUGUGAAUGUGGGUGUAUUCACGAGGACACCCUUUUUACCCU